UCCGAGUUGACCCCGGCAGUCUCCUAUGAGUCCCCGCCAUUACGCGCUGGCAACAUAGAACGAGGGUUGCGCUCGUUGCGGGACUUAACCCAACAUCUCACGACACGAGCUGACGACAACCAUGCACCACCUGUAUACAGCCCCGAAGGACUCCAUAUCUCUAUGGAUAAACCGUAUAUGUCAAGCCUUGGUAAGGUUCUUCGCGUUGCAUCGAAUUAAUCCGCAUGCUCCGCCGCUUGUGCGGGCCCCCGUCAAUUCCUUUGAGUUUUAGCCUUGCGGCCGUACUCCCCAGGCGGGGCACUUAAUGCGUUAGCUGCGACGCGGAACUCAUGGAAAGAGCCCCACAUCUAGUGCCCACCGUUUACGGCAUGGACUAC
rnacentral:misc_RNA from 1 species